rnacentral:rRNA from 1 species
AUUGAACGCUGGCGGCAGGCUUAACACAUGCAAGUCGAACGAGUGGCGGGCGGGUGAGUAAUGCCUGGGAUUCUAGCUUCUGGAGGGGGAUAACUACGGGAAACUGUAGCUACUCCCUCCUCCGAUCGGAUGAGCCCAAGUGGGCUUAGGUAGUUGGUGAUGUAAAGGCUCACCAAGCCGACGAUCUCUAGUUGGUCUGAGAGGAUGACCCGCAACACGGGGACUGAGACACGGAGCAGACUCCGACGGGAGGCAGCAGUCGGGAAUAUUGCGCAAGGGGGGCAAGCUGAAGCAGUCAUGCCGGGUGAAUGAAGAAGGCCUUCGGGGUGUAAAGGACGUUCGGUAGCGAGGCGUUACCUACAGAAGAAGCACCGGCUAACUCCGUGCCAGCAGCCGCGGUAAUAC